GCGGACGGGUGAGUAAUGCCUAGGAAUCUGCCUGGUAGUGGGGGAUAACGUUCGGAAACGGACGCUAAUACCGCAUACGUCCUACGGGAGAAAGCAGGGGACCUUCGGGCCUUGCGCUAUCAGAUGAGCCUAGGUCGGAUUAGCUAGUUGGUGAGGUAAUGGCUCACCAAGGCGACGAUCCGUAACUGGUCUGAGAGGAUGAUCAGUCACACUGGAACUGAGACACGGUCCAGACUCCUACGGGAGGCAGCAGUGGGGAAUAUUGGACAAUGGGCGAAAGCCUGAUCCAGCCAUGCCGCGUGUGUGAAGAAGGUCUUCGGAUUGUAAAGCACUUUAAGUUGGGAGGAAGGGUUGUAGAUUAAUACUCUGCAAUUUUGACGUUACCGACAGAAUAAGCACCGGCUAACUCUGUGCCAGCAGCCGCGGUAAUACAGAGGGUGCAAGCGUUAAUCGGAAUUACUGGGCGUAAAGCGCGCGUAGGUGGUUUGUUAAGUUGGAUGUGAAAUCCCCGGGCUCAACCUGGGAACUGCAUUCAAAACUGACUGACUAGAGUAUGGUAGAGGGUGGGUGGAAUUUCCUGUGUAGCGGUGAAAUGCGUAGAUAUAGGAAGGAACACCAGUGGCGAAGGCGACCACCUGGACUAAUACUGACACUGAGGUGCGAAAGCGUGGGGAGCAAACAGGAUUAGAUACCCUGGUAGUCCACGCCGUAAACGAUGUCAACUAGCCGUUGGAAGCCUUGAGCUUUUAGUGGCGCAGCUAACGCAUUAAGUUGACCGCCUGGGGAGUACGGCCGCAAGGUUAAAACUCAAAUGAAUUGACGGGGGCCCGCACAACCGGUGGAGCAUGUGGUUUAAUUCGAAGCAACGCGAAGAACCUUACCAGGCCUUGACUUCCAAUGAACUUUCUAAAAAUAGAUUGGUGCCUUCCGGAACAUUGAGACA
rnacentral:rRNA from 1 species